UAUUUAAUAAAUAUUUAUAUAGUAUAUAUUUGCUUCAGCCCCCUAAGCAUGCGCCUAACAUAGUUGGUGUUUGGGCAAGGCAUUCUUUGAAAAGCGCCUAGUCGCAUAGGCGACGCCUAGGCGUCUAGGCGUCGCCUUGACAACUAUGGGAAGAUGGUAUUUUUUGGAGGUUCAACAUCCAACCACCAACUAUGGAGGCUGAUUAUUGCAGAAAAAUCUAGAUUCUGGAACAAGGAAUUUGAGUUGGGUUCCUGGUAUUAGUAACAAGUCCCAUGAAUGUUUGAUUUGGAGAGGAUUGGAAAGUUUUCAUAACUUUAUCCAAGGAGUGAGAAUGAAGGUGGGGGAUGGAGUCAGUGGUGUGAUGACAUAGCUCUAAUGGAGAUGUUCAAUUCCCUUCAUUCUUCAUCCUAGCUGAGGACGGAGGUGUGAGGAGCUGAUCUCUUUUAGCUUCAAGGUGAAACUGGUGGUUUGGUGCCCAUUUUUUAUAAGACUUUUGAAUGAUUGGGAAAUAAAAGACUUGAUGAGACUGAUUUAGCUGCUUAACACUGCCACUCCACACCUGGAGAAGGUGGAUGAAAGAUUUUGGAAGUGAGACAGAUCUGGAAAGUAGUAAGAAGUGAAGGGGCUAGAAGAGCUCAGGGUAGUAGACCAAAAAGGAUAUGAAUACAGUAGUAGUAAGAAAUGUUUUAAGCACUAAAAAUUUAACAGUGGAUAUGGCUUUAAAUAGAACGAAAUGGUGAAACAAGGUUCGUGUAGCCGACACCAUAUAGUUGGAUAAGGCAUGGAUGGUGAUGAUGAUGAUGAGACAGAUCUGAAAAGUUUUUUGUUAGACUCUUCUUCAAGAAAUUGAAUUGAAUACUAGAGGCAAACAUUCCAUAUAAAGUUUGGAUACUACAUGGGGCCAUCAAAAGUGGCUUUCUUGCUCUGGACUGCAAUAUCAGGCAAAUAUCUAAACAGAAAUGACCUUGAAAGAAGUAAUUCCAGCCUGAGUUCAGUGAUUUAUGUAUUUUGUGGGGAGGAAAGUGAAAUGGAAGAUCUUUAGUUCUGGUGUCGCGUGAUCUGGUCGCUCCCUUGUGUCAGUCAACUCGGAUACUGGUUCAGAUGGUUCUUUGCUUAGGCCGAGUUGAUAUGUUCUACAAGGAGGAAGGUUAGAGUGCCUGGGUUGUCUCUACCCGAGGAGGGCAUUCCGAUGCUUAAGUCAGAUAUUGUUUAUAGAAAUCUUGAGAGAAUGAGAGAGCUUGAGAGUGUAUAAUUGGGCGUACCUUUUCAGGUAGAAGUGAGUGCCUUAUAUAGGUUUCGAUGGUCAGAGCCCUUCACAAUGGGUCCUCUUUCUUGCGGAGCCGUUUUCACUUAGUCGGGUGGAUUAAUAUGUUGGUUACGAGAUUUGCGCGGAGGUUACGAUCUGCCCGAAUAACUCUGAGGCGUGCGAUGCGGUAGGCCGGUCUAAUAGUCGAGACAUUAACGUCCCAGAGAUCUCGGGCUGGUAACGCAUUAUCGGUCCAAGUCAGCAGGCUCUCCUCGCAUGUCACUGUGGAUUCCUACAGCUCAGCUGGUCUGAGACAGCUUGCCGCGAGUUAGGGAGCCUGUCAGUUCAACCCGAUCGAGGUGGAGAUCAGUUUAGGCGAGGUGCUCCAGGCUGACUUGCUGAGCUAGUUUUCUUACUCAACGCUGAGGUGUCACUUGAAGGCCACGUGUCACGAGGCAAUUAGGAGGACCAAAUUACCCCUCAUUAAGUUCCUUCAAUGUCCUACAGCAUGAGACAUCUAUAGCCACUUCUGCAAGAUUCUAAAUACCAGCUGGUGCCACCCAAGAUCGCUGAGGCGGCAUUUGUUAGGCUGGAAAUUAUAGGAUUUAAUUGGAGAGGCAGAUUACAAUGGAGUACAAUACUUGUGGCUGCGACUUGGUGCAUGUAGAAGGAAAGAAAUCUCAGAACUUUUGAAUACAAGCGGAGUUCCCAUGAGGAGUUGACUAGAAGAUAAAGGGCGUUCCCCAGAAGCAAUAUGCUAUAAUGGAUAUGCACCGAAGAGAAUGGAAGGGCGAAACAAGAUUCAUGUAGUCAGCCCCAUAUAGUUGGGACAAGGCUUAAAUGAUAAUGGUGAUAGAGGAUAUAAUUGUUGUAGAAAAGGCAAGCCUUGGUUGUGUUCAAUCUCAUAAAUGAGGUACAUCUUACCUAACCUUUUGCUUUGUUUGAUGAAUUAACUUUGAAUUUGAAUUUGAUGUUGAAUGCAUCCUAUUUAAACAGGACUUGAAUGUAAAAGACUACAAUAUUUUGUGUUAAUGACAUGAUAUUAGAACCAUUUAAGCCAAUAGGCUUUGCAAAAAA